rnacentral:misc_RNA from 1 species
GAAUAUAUGAUGGGUGCGGAAUCACGAUCGGUAUUUGUGUGAUGCAAUUUCUGGGGUGGUAAGGACCAGUGCCACACUUGGGUUUGAUUUUCCUCUCAUCGAGUUUCGUGUGCGCAUGUUCGUCUCUCACAUCGAGUUAUACUCUCAUCUUCUAUACAUUAGAAGGAUGCAUCAGCAGUUUGAUCUGCUGAAAGAGUUCAUACACCCAAUUAUUGUUUAAAGGCCUGGUGUUGGGUAGUAUUUCUAACGGAUUUUAGAAAUGCUAUGACAACAAUACCUUUAGAAUUAUAUUGUGUGGAUAUUUACUUCUUGUUAAACAGACUGUGACAUAUCUCAAUGAGAGGGGAUUAUUCUCGUUUUUGGAGUUAUUCUGAUGCCUGUUGCUCUUGCUCCUACGCAUAGAAGCAUAGCAUUGAACUCCAUGGUGUGGUACUUCAAAUCCGUACACCACAUACCUAAUCAAAACCUCCUCGCAACGGCUUCCAUAUUCUCGUCUGUAUUCAAUCGUGGAUAGUGGUUUCAGCUCGACGUGGGUAUGCUAGUGACUCAGAGUUUGGAUGUACUAGGUUUCAUAAGGAUACCCAACUGGAAAUGUUGCGGAAAUAUCACAUUCGUCCUUGCUCCAUUGUUAACUCAGUGUCACUUUAGGUCCUAUGGGAAACAAUGUUGAGCUGAUGCAUUUUUCCGUACAGCCAUUACCGUUCUUCGGGAUGGCAAGGAUUAGCCCUUCCUAUUACAGGCUUUAUAAUGGAAAACUCUUAAGAUAUAUUUCUAGGUUUUUUUCCAUGACAGAGAAUUAAGCCUGUGGUUCAUGUUGAUAUUCCAGAAUACGCAACAAUUGCUGCGUAUUCGGUAGGUUUCUUUUUAGUGAUUUUUCCAAACCCAUUCUUCUCUUCGUUAGUAUAUUUGACUCGGUUCUAUUUCAAUGUGUCGCAUUGAAAUAGAAAUCCUUUGUGCAUAAAAUCAUUUACCUCAACUUUCCUCACCAAGUAUCUUUGAAUGUUUUGCUCCCAUCAAGAAAGAAAGAACUUCUACUACAACGAGUCAAUAUGCUAGCAUGGUGGAGGUACAGUUGUCCUAUGGUGGAUCUUGAAAAGACCCUCGGAAGACAGGGCCACAUCGACGAUCAAUAUUUUGCCUAUCAUCAACAAAUUGUGACUGAUUUUUCUCUCAUCGUUUAUGAGAGAACCCUCUUGUCUCUUGUGAUUGACGCUUAUAUGUCACCAUGGCAUGCAGCUGCUCCUUAUAACCACUUUUUGGUACAUCUCCCUACUAAGACUCGGGAACUGUUGCACUUAUCAAUUUAUUCUUGAGAUAAGGGCAACA